AGUGAACGCUGGCGGUAGGCCUAACACAUGCAAGUCGAACGGCAGCACAGUAAGAGCUUGCUCUUACGGGUGGCGAGUGGCGGACGGGUGAGGAAUACAUCGGAAUCUACUUUUUCGUGGGGGAUAACGUAGGGAAACUUACGCUAAUACCGCAUACGACCUACGGGUGAAAGCAGGGGAUCUUCGGACCUUGCGCGAUUGAAUGAGCCGAUGUGGGAUUAGCUAGUUGGCGGGGUAAAGGCCCACAAAGGCGACGAUCCGUAGCUGGUCUGAGAGGAUGGUCCCCCACACGGAACCUGAGCACCGUCCCAGGUCCUGAGGGAAGGCGCAGGUGGGGACUUUGGGCAAAGGGGGGAAAGCUUGUCCAAGCCUCGCAGGGGGGGUGAAGAAGCCCUCCGGGUGGUAAGCCCCCUUUGUUGGAAAGAAAAGCAGCAGGUUAAUACCCCGCUGUUCUGACGGUACCCAAAGAAUAAGCACCGGCUAACUUCGUG
rnacentral:rRNA from 1 species